rnacentral:rRNA from 1 species
ACUACGGGUGGCAGCAGUGAGGAAUAUUUGUCAAUGGACGAGAGUCUGAACCAGCCAAGUAGCGUGAAGGAUGACUGCCCUAUGGGUUGUAAACUUCUUUUAUAUGGGAAUAAAAUGUUCCACGUGUGGGAUUUUGUAUGUACCAUAUGAAUAAGGAUCGGCUAACUCCGUGCCAGCAGCUGCGGUAAUACGGAGGAUCCGAGCGUUAUCCGGAUUUAUUGGGUUUAAAGGAAGAGUCGGUGGAUUGUUAAGUCAGUUGUGAAAGUUGGCGGCUCAACCGUAAAAGUGCAGUUGAAACUGGCAGUCUUGAGUACAGUAGAGGUGGGCGGAAUUCGUGGUGUAGCGGUGAAAUGCUUAGAUAUCACGAAGAACUCCGAUUGCGAAGGCAGCUCACUGGACUGCAACUGACACUGAGGCUCGAAAGUGUGGGUAGCAAACAGGAUUAGAUACCCCAGUAGUC